rnacentral:rRNA from 1 species
UACGGGGGGGCAAGCGUUGUUCGGAAUCACUGGGCGUAAAGCGCGUGUCGGCGGCCCUUUCAGUCCGAUGUGAAAGCCCGGGGCUCACCCCCGGAAGUGCAUUGGAUACUGAAGGGCUGGAGUACCGGAGAGGAGGGUGGAAUUCCUGGUGUAGCGGUGAAAUGCGUAGAUAUCAGGAGGAACACCUGUGGCGAAGGCGGCCCUCUGGACGGAUACUGACGCUGAGACGCGAAAGCGUGGGGAGCAAACAGG